rnacentral:tRNA from 1 species
GGACCCGUGGUGUAGCGGUUAACAUGCGGCCCUGUCAAGGCCGAGAGCGCGGGUUCAAAUCCCGUCGGGUCCGCCA